UAAACUUAACCAUAUAAGAGUCCGGUUACAUUGCUACCUCUUGAUCGGAUAAGAAAUCUCAUCGCAGAUUUUGAGUGGUUAAACAAGUUACACCGCACACCUUUUGACCAGAUUGUUCACCAGUUGAUUCAUCGCAUCAAUCGGAUUCUAGUCUCAAAGGUUAAACCGCACAUAACUUGACCGGUAUACUUGAGCGGUUUAAAUGGAAGCUUUGACCGGAUAAUCAUCUUGAUCGGAGUCUUAAUCUCUCAAAUCAGGAGUUAGUCGCUCAACAAAAUGAUCCGGACUCUAAAUCGGUCAACAGGUUUCUAUGCUGUUGAUUUUGACACAAGAUACACAGAGACAGAUUAAUUGUCAUCAGAGGAGCUUUGCUUAUGGACUCAGUGUUCUUGACUCAAUUGAAAGAUCAAUCUGUUUGAUUCUGCUUUCAAUCUCAGAUUUCCAGUUUCAAUUUCAUCUGUUUUUAGAUUUUUUUUCUGUGAUAUCUGUGAUUUUGAAGCUGUUGUCUCACUUCUUGGACAGACCUUUGAAGUUUUGAAGCUGAGAUUGUACAGUCAUUGGAGUUGAAGCAUCAUUUGAACUGCACCUAAAUCACUGACUUGUUAACACAGGCUUAAUUUGUUCAUAACCUGUCUGAAUUGUAUCUUUAAUCUGUGUGCUUGUUGUUUUUGAGUAGGCUGCAUAUUAGCCUAAAUCGCACUUCUAUCCAAAUUUUAUCUAAUUUGGUUCAUACCA